rnacentral:rRNA from 1 species
GAUGAACGCUAGCUACAGGCUUAACACAUGCAAGUCGAGGGGUAACGAGAGGAAAGCUUGCUUUCCUUGUUGACGACCGGCGCACGGGUGAGUAACGCGUAUCCAACCUGCCCCCAACUAGGGAAUAACCUUGCGAAAGUAAGACUAAUACCCUAUAAUUUCCUCAGAUGUCAUCUGACGAGGAAUAAAGAUUUAUCGGUUGCGGAUGGGGAUGCGUCUGAUUAGCUUGUUGGCGGGGUAACGGCCCACCAAGGCAACGAUCAGUAGGGGUUCUGAGAGGAAGGUCCCCCACAUUGGAACUGAGACACGGUCCAAACUCCUACGGGAGGCAGCAGUGAGGAAUAUUGGUCAAUGGGCGGAAGCCUGAACCAGCCAAGUAGCGUGCAGGAUGACGGCCCUAUGGGUUGUAAACUGCCUUUAUACAGGAAUAAAGUUAGCCACGUGUGGUUAUUUGUAGGUACUGUAUGAAUAAGGACCGGCUAAUUCCGUGACAGCCGCCGCAGUAA